AAGGUCUCAGUCUCUGGAACGUUGCUGGCCAAUGUCUUAGGUAAUAAAUGCUGUGGAUGGAGGAAUGCAGCCUUGUUAUUGCCUGGCUAAGGGGAAUUCAUUCUACACAUUGGCUUUCCUGGAGUUUUCCACCCGGGCGUCGUUGACUCCUCACCACCGCAUAGAUAUUUCUGUAUUUCAGCAAAAUUUCCCACUUCUAAUCUGGAUAGUCCUGGCUGGGUGGAGUGCAAAACCCACAUUGUUAACUCCGGAUAACAGUAAUUAAAAGAAAAUAAAAUCAAAGGUGCUCAGAAAAGAAAUGGAACAUUUUUCUCUGGAAGCCAAAAGAUUAUAUUAAACUUUGUCGGUUUAAUAAAAUAUUAUGAAGUUUGGGAGCGUAUUUUCCCUGGGACUUAA